UGAGUCUCAAACUACCCUGCUUGACUCACUCUUGAGCAGCAAGGAGGAGGCUGUGGAGAUAGAGAAGGCUACCAGGCUGCAGGCUGCAGAUAAGAAGUGGAAGAGAUUGAGGACCCACAGAGUAACUGCAUCCAAAGUUGGAGAAAUAUCAAAGCGAAAAAAAGAUCCUGAAAACUAUGCCCAAAAGUUGAGGACCUCGACGAAAGUGUCAUGACUGAGGCCAUGAGGGAAGGCCUUGCUAAUGAGCCAGUUGCUGUUGCAGCAUACAGCAGAGUGAAGGAUGAUAAGAUAAAUAUUUAUCCGUCUGGUAUUGUCAUCAACCCCAAGUGUUCCUGGAUGGCUGCCUCACCAGACAGGAAGGUGCUUGACCCAAGCACCAUUCCACCAUUUGGCCUCCUGGAAAUCAAG